AAUCAACGCUGGCGGCGUGCCUCAGACAUGCAAGUCGAACGAGAACCUCCCUUCGGGGAGGGGACAGUGGCGCACGGGUGAGUAACACGUGGGUAAUUUACCUUUCGGGUGGGGAACGAACAGCCGGAAACGGCUGCUAAUACCGCAUAAUGCAGCGGCUCGACAUCGAGACAGUUGUUAAAGCGGGGGAGUCGCAAGACCUCGCGCCUGAAGAGAAGCCUGCGGCGGAUUAGCAGUUGGUA
rnacentral:rRNA from 1 species